rnacentral:lncRNA from 1 species
UUUAACUCUCUCUCAUCUCAAUUUCAAUCUCUCUCUUUCUGCCACCACUCAAAUCGCCAGCCACCAUUCGUUCCUCCUUAGAUCACCUCCACAAUUUGAGAAAAUGUUGUUCUCAAGCUCCUAGACCUGUUAGUGACUAGAGUUGCACCUUUCUAUCACUUGAGAGAGAGAGCGAGGGGCGACAACCUUUCUUUGUACCAACCAGUCUAGGUGGCACUAGCUUUACCCACCACCACAAAUCUAUUUCCCAUCCUCAAAAACCCUAACCUGAAAAGUGGCAGCACCUCCCUUUGUUGUUUGGUCAUGAACGGAAACGAGUAGUACUGAGACUUUGCCUACCCAAUUUGCAGCGACAGUGAGGAGUUGAACGUUUGGUAGUUGUACGGCUGGACUCCCCUGCUUGGGAGCUUCUCUAUUCGUAUUUUUUAUGACCUUCAAUUUUUCCAAUCACUACUUCCGAUGGUGCUCCGAUUUGUGCAUUGAGAUGCAAAAAUCGUCAUACAAUUUUGAGACCUCAUGUGGUAUUGAUUUGUUUAAACUUGACUCGACUAAUCAAAUAUGGUGUUUAUAUAUAAUUUUGGAUUAAGUUUUAGUUAAUUAA